rnacentral:rRNA from 1 species
UGGGGAAUUUUGGACAAUGGGCGCAAGCCUGAUCCAGCAAUGCCGCGUGCAGGAAGAAGGCCUUCGGGUUGUAAACUGCUUUUGUCAGGGAAGAAAUCCUCUGGGUUAAUACCUCGGGGGGAUGACGGUACCUGAAGAAUAAGCACCGGCUAACUACGUGCCAGCAGCCGCGGUAAUACGUAGGGUGCGAGCGUUAAUCGGAAUUACUGGGCGUAAAGCGUGCGCAGGCGGUUGUGCAAGACAGGUGUGAAAUCCCCGGGCUUAACCUGGGAACUGCACUUGUGACUGCACGGCUAGAGUACGGUAGAGGGGGAUGGAAUUCCGCGUGUAGCAGUGAAAUGCGUAGAUAUGCGGAGGAACACCGAUGGCGAAGGCAAUCCCCUGGACCUGUACUGACGCUCAUGCACGAAAGCGUGGGGAGCAAACAGGAUUAGAUACCCUGGUA